GUGGGGAAUAUUGGACAAUGGGCGAAAGCCUGAUCCAGCAAUGCCGCGUGUGUGAAGAAGGUCUUCGGAUUGUAAAGCACUUUUGGCAGGGACGAUGAUGACGGUACCUGCAGAAUAAGCCCCGGCUAACUUCGUGCCAGCAGCCGCGGUAAUACGAAGGGGGCUAGCGUUGCUCGGAAUGACUGGGCGUAAAGGGCGCGUAGGCGGUUUGUACAGUCAGAUGUGAAAUUCCUGGGCUCAACCUGGGGACUGCAUUUGAGACGUAUGGACUAGAGUGGAGAAGAGGGUUGUGGAAUUUCCAGUGUAGAGGUGAAAUUCGUAGAUAUUGGAAAGAACACCGGUGGCGAAGGCGGCAACCUGGUCUUCAACUGACGCUGAGGCGCGAAAGCGUGGGGAGCAAACAGGAUUAGAUACCCUUGUAGUCC
rnacentral:rRNA from 1 species